ensembl:lncRNA
AUAUAUCGCCCAGCCCUAGUUUGAACUUAAAAACAUCUUGAUGGAUUUGUUUCUUACAAACAUGCAUUUUUCACUUCACAAGAUGUUAAUUGAUGUACUAGAGUGGUGUGGAUUUUUUAUUUAUUUUGGAGUUUAUCAUCUGUUUGGACUGUCAUUCUGACGGCACCCAUUCACUGCAGAGGAACCAUUGACUUCAUUGUGUCCAGACCACCGCGGUUCAAAGCUAAGGAUUUUGAUUCCAAGCACGAAUAAACGGCAAAAGUUUGAGUCCCACAGGUUCUUACGCCUUGACUUCUCUUAUACCUCGCAGCAGUGUUUGCACAUUCUGGACAGACCUCACAUCCAUAAACAACAGUGUGCUGUGCAACAAAUUCAGGGUUUUUCAGCCAGGUUUGCAUUGGGAGGUUAACUUGGACGGCUCACAUGUGAAGUUGUGAAGGAGGUCAAGAUGACGGAAAUCAACAAUGUCAGAUCAUCUUGAGAAUCCGGUAGAGUCAGACCAACUGCAGAACGAGUCCUCGCCAGUUCUCUCAGCCACCCUCCCUUUCCUCGUUCUCAUUUCAUUGCCAGGUAGCUCAUGGCACGGCAUGAUGCUGUGUAAGCUCCAUCUGUUUGGCGCGCGGCUGGUGACAAACUGCGAGAGAGGAGGCCUAGUCAGUCGCUGUGGAUUGCAUUGCGGUGGAACCAAUCGGCACCUUCCCACAUGGCCCAAAGAGAAAGCCCCCCGGGAAACCCUUCAACACGGCCAGCCUACAACCCAGCACACAAUUUGUGCUCCACCAAAUAUGAAGCCAACUUUCUACCAACCCUGACUUCACCCUUGAUCAGUACAAAACAAAAAAUGAGGGCAGCAGAAAAUGAAAUAAAAAUGAAGGAUUUGAGAGAUCAAAGCGUUAAAAGAGUAGUUCAGCCAAAAAUAAUAAUAAAAAAAAGUCUGGUAUUAUUUACUCAUGUUGUCCCAAAUUCAACUGCUGUUAUUCAUUUAUUUAUUUAUGGAACAUACACAUAUAUAUAUUAUUUUGACAAAAUUAAUAGAAGGACUCCUAUCACAGAAAGAUACAAAACAAAUUUUUGAACAUUUAUGUUUUUGGUUCCUCGCUGGUUUAACAACCUUCCCAUCCUUAUCCAGGCAGCCGAAUCCCUCACAAUAUUCAAGAAAUGACUAAAAACUAAUCUUUUUACUGAGGGAACUUAAAUGCAUCCCACUGAUGUUUACUCUUUGUUGUACUCCUCAUUUGUUAGUCAGUUUAGAUAAAAGUGCC